AAACAAUACACAUAUUGCCAGGAGCGGAUCCGGAUAUUUUUUUAAUGCCCCUGAAUUCCGGCUCGGACAGAAAAAAAGUUUCUACGGAGUAACUUGGCUCCGGACAUGCUUUAUCCAGAGUAGAAAAGCGCAUGCAAGCGUAUCCAACUACCAUUGACAAGUGAUUAGAUCAUUGAAGUCUUCAUUUUGGACCAGUGGCGGGGUCAGAAAGCAAGAACGUGAACAAUCUAUGGCGUUGAAAGUGACAGCAUAAUAAAGAUGUUUCCAGAGACAGUUUCGUACCUUUCCUACACUACAGCCUAGCUUGGAGUAGACGCAGUCUAUGGACCGCCGCAUACAAUCGUGGUCAUAGUGUCUUUGCAGCUGUAAAAAAAUCGA